UGGCAACCUUGGUGUGGAGACCUGGAGUCUGGUGGUCUUCAGUCGCCCCCUUGUGGAAGCAGGGUCUCUCUUACUCUCUCCCAGCUAGGGGGAAACCAGUCGGGCUGUGCGAGUGUGUGUGUGUGUGUGUGUGUGUGCAUCUGUCUGGGGUGAGGGAAAAGGCGGGGGAGGUGUCUGGAGCUGCAGAUAAGACAGGAAGCGGCACGUCAUGACUCAGGCUGGGAGAGGAUGGGGCUGUGGGUCUCCACACACUUACAUGCAGACCCCCCUGGCCUGCCUGUGUGCACACACGUGUCCUGGGCGUGUAUCUGAAGCCACUUCUUGUCACGGUGGCUGCUGAGAUCUCUUGGGUAUCGGCAUCCAGGGGGUGGGCCUGGAGAGAGCGAGGUCCGGAGUGCCAGGCCUGCUCACACCCAGUGGUCACCGUGUCCUCCCAGUGUCCACUCCAGGAAGGAAGCCGCGCCAGAUGCUGUGGGAGGGA